rnacentral:lncRNA from 8 species
CAUCGGGUGUGUUCAUGCCUGGCUGGAACAAAAGCGUGCACACAAUAACAAUCUGUGGAGAUAUUUUUUUAAGUAAUGGUCUGUCUGUCUGUCUGUCUGCAGGCCCCAGUGAGCUGGAUCUCAGUCUCCUAGGAGACAAUACUAGUCUGGUAGACGUCCCAUUCAGAAAUGAAGAGCAGGUUGAGGAGGAGGAGGAAGAGGAGGAGGAGGAAAUGGGGUAUGCUGAAGGGACUGCAGAGAGUGAGUACAUGAGCCUGCAUUGAUUUCCGAUCAGGUCUUGCUUUGUGUUGGGAUAAAAGGCCAGAGUUCCAUUCCAACUCACUGACUCACUCUCAUGGCUGCAUCCCAAAUGGCCCCCUAUUCCCUUUAGACCAGGGCCCUAUUCCCUGUAUAGUGCACUACUAUAGACCAGAGCCCUAUUCCCUGUAUAGUGCACUACUAUAGACCAGAGCCCUAUUCCCUAUAUAGUGCACUACUAUAGACCAGAGCCCUAUUCCCUAUAUACUGCACUACUAUAGACCAGAGCCCUAUUCCCUAUAUAGUGCACUACUAUAGACCAGAGCCCUAUUCCCUAUAUAGUGCACUACUUUAGACCAGACCAGAGCACAGACAGACAGACAGACAGAGACCGACCGACCGACCGACCGAGAGAGUUUUAAAUAACCAUUAUUGGGUCUGGGAACCCACAACACAAUAAACACUCAAACAACAGAGCAGAUCUCAUGGACAUCUCAAUCAGCCCAAAUGACCACUUCUACUGUAGCCUUCUCAGCCGGAUAGAGGACCUUUCCAACCUCAGUGAGGGGUGCAACCAAGCCGCAUUGCUGACAGCCUGGCUAGACUGCAGAGUAGAACCCAGGAAGUCGUUGCCCAGGCGAUAUUCUCCCACUCCAUAGUUGUAGAUCAGUUCAGCAACAAAGUCUCUGGCCCAAAGCCAACCAUUGUCUUGUUCCAUUUUCCAUCAUAAGGGCCCUUACAAGUUGCCUUACAUCCUUUUUCAAACUCUCUGUGACGCAAAAUCUUCAUGCCGAGCACAUCUCGGUAAAAGGUGGCCGUUUUGCUUCUGUCGCCCACUUUGAAAACGAAACGCAAGGCUCGCCUCAAAGCCAAUAUAAUCCAAGUGAGUUAGCUAUGUACUAUACGAUUCUAUAUCACGCUCAGUUUGGCUACGUUGAUUAAGGAUCCUUGCAGUUGAUUGCCACAUAGAAAAGAGAAAGGGAAAAACAGAAACAAGACAUAGAGAAAAAAAAAACACCCUAUGAGGCAUGAUCAUCGCCAUUGUUUUAAUUUUCUCUGAACCUGACCACGUUUCCUACUACCUUUUGCUGCAGUGACAACAGUAACAAAUUUCCUCAAGCGGAAACGCUUCUUCACACUCAACUGAUCUAACUCCA